AAAAUGCACCAGCUUUAUAAAUUCACGCUCACCAACCUAAUCCGCUGCUAUAUGGCCCAAUCAUGACUUAUUAUGGCAUGAUAAAAUUCAAGCACAAGCAGGCUAAAUAAACACGCAAGGGUAUGUGGAAAACCACUAUUUUAAGACCAAGCUAUGCUACAAGCUUAAGUGGGCCCAAAUCACGUAAUUACUCGGGGUUUGUUGAGAAAGUUGUGAUAUGUAAGGGAACAAGC
rnacentral:lncRNA from 1 species